rnacentral:rRNA from 1 species
AUGGAUAUUGAGGUCCUGCAGCGUAUACUUGAUAGAAGGGAGAAGCCGACAAAUCUAUCAUUUGAGCUUUUGAAGAAUAUCACAGAAAACUUCUCGGACGAUCGAGAAAUUGGCCAUGGUGGAUUCGCAACAGUUUAUAAAGGAGUGCUCCCAAAUGGGGAUGUUGCUGUAAAGAGGAUAAGGAACGGCUAUACAAUCAAUGAGACCUUUUUUUAUCGAGAAGUUGACAGCCUGUUGAACAUUGAACAUAAAAAUGUCGUACGGUUUCUUGGCUUCUGUGCUAGCACAGACCAAACAGCCGUACCAAUCAAAGGAUCAAAACAACAUAUUUACGCGGAGGUAAGAGAAAGACUACUCUGUUUUGAGUAUAUCAGCAAUGGAAGCCUGAAAAAAUAUAUUACUGAUGAAUUAAGGGGACUUGAAUGGAAUACACGUUAUAAAAUAAUUAGAGGCAUCUGUGAAGGUUUGCAUCAUCUGCACAACGAAAAGCAGAUAUAUCAUAUGGAUCUGAAACCCGACAAUAUACUACUAGACAAUGAUAUGGUGCCGAAGAUCACAGAUUUUGGUUUAUCGAGACUUGAUGAGAAGUCAAAAACUAUGAGUGAAGAACGUCAUGGAUCACUAGGAUAUUGUGCUCCUGAAUACCUACAUCAGGGAAAAAUGUCAUUCAAAUCAGACAUGUACAGUUUGGGUGUCAUAAUUAUUGAACUAGUGACUGGACAAAAGGCGGUCCCCAAUAAUAAUAACAAUGUACUUAGGAGAUGGAGGCACAUAUGGAAGAAAACUGGGAAUGAAACACCAUUGGUUUACCAACAAGUAGCAAAAUGCCUCCAAAUUGGGUUACUCUGCCAGGAAGUUGACCCAUCCAAAUGA